GUAGGGAAUAUUGGUUAAUGGGCGAAAGCCCGAACCAGCAACGCCGCGUGUGCGAUGAAGGCCUUCGGGUCGUAAAGCACUUUUAGAGAGGAAGAGGAAGGACGGUACUCUUUGAAUAAGCUUCGGCUAACUACGUGCCAGCAGCCGCGGUAACACGUAGGAAGCGAGCGUUAUCCGGAUUUACUGGGCGUAAAGCGCGUGUAGGCGGUCUGGUUAGUUGGAUGUGAAAGCUCCCGGCUUAACUGGGAGAGGUCGUUCAAUACUGCCAGACUUGAGAGUGGUAGAGGGAGAUGGAAUUCCGGGUGUAGUGGUGAAAUGCGUAGAUAUCCGGAGGAACACCAGUGGCGAAAGCGAUCUCCUGGACCAUUUCUGACGCUCAGACGCGAAAGCUAGGGUAGCAAACGGGAUUAGAAACCCUAGUAGUCC
rnacentral:rRNA from 1 species